CCCCACCCCGCCCCGUCGCCGCGCUCGGCGUUGCCGCUGCCCGCAGCUUGUGCAGUUGUCCCGUUGCUUUCCCUUCCUUAUCCGAGCCCCACCACCGCACCACGUACUACGCGCCACUCCUGGCUCCCUUGCCCGUCCACCGGGCUCGGGCACUGCCGACUGCCGAGCGAGCCGAGCCGAGGCGAGCACGGGUGCCGCGCCGCCGUGUGCUCUGGACGUCAGGUGAUUGGUGAAUCCGUUCGGGUUCCUUACGUGGUUGGUGGGGCCGCGCGGUCGCGGGCAGUGGUUGAGCCGUUGUGACCGCGCGUCGCCGUCCCGGGGAUUUUUGUUGCGUGGCCUGGCCGGCCGGCCUGCCUCUGCCUGCCAGUGCCAGCCCUGCCCAUGCCCGCGUGGCCUGGUGGUGGGUGGGUGCCGGCGGUGCCCCCGGGAGCCAAACGCAAAUCCGGCGCGGGUCCAAGGCGUUGUUUAGUUCCGAAAAAAUUUCGGAUUUCGCUACUAUAGCACUUUCGUUUGUUUAUGGUAAAUAUUGUCCAAUCAUAGACUAACUAGGAUCAAAAGAUUCGUCUUGCGAUUUACAGACAAACUGUGUGAUUAAUUUUUAUUUUCAUCUAUAUUUAAUGCUUCAUGCAUGUGCCGUAAUAUUUGAUAUGACAGAGAAUCUUGAAAAGUUUUUGUAUUUCGGGGUGAACUAAACAAGGCCCAAAACCAAAAGGCGCGGGCACGGAGGGAGGAUGAUCCGAUGACGAGGCCGUGGUGGUCGUCAACAGUCAACAAUGCGCCCGCCAUGUCCCCGGACGAACAAAUCUUUUGCCGAUCCGCUCCUCCUCUUCGUUCGUUGCUGCCAUCACUGAUGCUCUGUCAAAAACAUGGGUGAAGUGCGAUUACUGGUCAGGAAACCCUUUAUGUUCCCUCCCUCUUCCAUUAUUCGGUUCCAAAGAGCCUCUCUUUUUUUUCCUCUCUCUUCCCUUGAACAGCAUGCAGCUGAUUGAUUACUCGACUG
rnacentral:lncRNA from 1 species